rnacentral:sRNA from 19 species
CAUUUUCUUCGUUAGGUGAGGCUUCUACAUAGACAGAUGCCACUGCCCGGAAAUGUCGAGAGACUCUAACGGGUUAACAGGUAUUACCGGAUUAAGGUUUUACCUAAUGUGGCUGGGACAUUCCCAAUGCCCUAGCUAUGUAUGUGCUAAAGCUUGUACGAGUGGGGAGGCCA